CCUACGGGUGGCAGCAGUGGGGAAUAUUGGGCAAUGGGCGCAAGCCUGACCCAGCAACGCCGCGUGAAGGAAGAAGGCGUGCGGGGUGUAAACUUCGUGUGACAGGGAAGAGGAGAAGACGGGACCUGGCGAAUAAGCCACGGCUAACUACGGGCCAGCAGCCGCGGGAAUACGUAGGGGGCAAGCGUUGUCCGGAUUUACUGGGUGUCAAGGGCGUGUAGCCGCGUUGACAAGUCAGAUGUGAAAUCCUGCGGCUUAACCGCAGAACUGCAUUUGAAACUGUUGAUCUUGAGUACUGGAGAGGCCGCCGGAAUUCCUAGUGUAGCGGUGCACUGCGUUGCUAUUAG
rnacentral:rRNA from 1 species